GACGAACGCUGGCGGCGUGCUUAACACAUGCAAGUCGAACGGAAAGGCCCCGCUUUUGUUGGGUGCUCGAGUGGCGAAACGGUGAGUAACACGUGAGUAACCUGCCCUUGACCUUGGGAUAACUUCAGGAAACUGGGGCUAAUACCGGAUAGGAGCUCCUGCUGCUUGGUGGGGGUUGGAAAGUUUCGGCGGUUGGGGAUGGACUCGCGGCUUAUCAGCUUGUUGGUGGGGUAGUGGCUUACCAAGGCUUUGACGGGUAGCCGGCCUGAGAGGGUGACCGGCCACAUUGGGACUGAGAUACGGCCCAGACUCCUACGGGAGGCAGCAGUGGGGAAUAUUGCACAAUGGGCGGAAGCCUGAUGCAGCAACGCCGCGUGCGGGAUGACGGCCUUCGGGUUGUAAACCGCUUUCGCCUGUGACGAAGCGUGAGUGACGGUAAUGGGUAAAGAAGCACCGGCUAACUACGUG
rnacentral:rRNA from 1 species